GUACCUGUAGCUCAAUUGGAUAGAGCAUUAGUUUGCGGAACUAAAGGUUGUCGGUUCGAUUCCGACCAGGUACG
rnacentral:tRNA from 1 species